UAUUAAGGGAGGCUUCUUCACACCAGCUGUGUCUGAGGUGCUUUGUUUUCCUCUGCAGAGCUUUCCUUGAGUCUGCUGGCUGCUGAAGCUCACUCUUGUGGUAUCCUAAGGAGAACAACUUGGCCAAUUGCACUUAUGCCACUGGACUUGGCUUCAACGCCACUGCAUCAAUCUACGGUGGCAAGGUUGUGUGUGCUCCAUGUUUUAAGGGACGUAUUUUCCAUCACUUCAGAGGCACCUGUAUCUCUAGCUGUUUUAUAUUCUAUGUGGCAGGCUGCUUCCAGGAAAAUCCUGCCCUGAGGCCCUCUGAGCACUGCCUGAUGGCUGACGGUAGAAGAAACUGAGGAACAGUGAAGCACUGAGGAACCUGACAAAAGAGGUGACAUCGUGUGGAUAAGUGAAAGCUUAAUAGAAUAAAAGAAGAUGAACUAGAUUUAAAAGAACGAAGACUGGUAGUUUGCUUGGCUCCAUGUUUACUCCGUGGAAGACAUGUUUAUCAGGAAGGCUCAGUGUAAAUCUGGUGAAUUUCCAAAGAUAUGAUGCGUUUGGAUCCUGGAUAUGAAGCAUCUACUUUCCAUUGAGACUGUGUCACAGUUCUGCCUUUAUCCCCUGGUGUUGUCUGAAUUUGUUCUGUCUGAUUAUAGUCAUGUUUAGAGAAGGAGAACUGUUGCUUCAGAACAAAAAGGCCCCUCACCUGUUGUGUGUCAUCCUCUGCCAGCAAAUGCCAGACGCUUCCAAAGAAGGUGAGGAAAAUCUCCCUGCACAUCUGAUCUUUGCUCUGCUAGAACUCUGCCCUAGAUGGAGGGUCUGAGAUCCAACAAGACCAUCCCAUAAUCCAGAGGACCGAGCUCAACAGCACUGCACAAUAAGAUGUGUCAAACCCUUAGCAGCACUCAUCUCUCUGGUUCUACACUGGACUUUCUGCAAAUGGCCUUCAUUUUCCAGGUGGAAAUGGGAGCCCAGUAACUGCUGAUGUCCCUCCAAAAUGUGGGUCAGGUCAUGAAGCUCCCAGUAGCUGCUUGUUCUCUGGAAGUGAUCCUGCCCCUCUUCCCCUCCCCUCUGGCUGUCAGCACAAGGCAUCAGCUCUGUGUUCUGGCCUUGGCCUGCAGGCUGUGUUUCCACUAAACACCUCCCGGAGAGUUGCUAAGUCACUGACUAAAUGGUCUGCAUUGCCGAGCUGUCUUCCAAAGCUGGCAAUUAAUCACCCAACGAGCUGGCUAAAAUCAACACUAGCGAAGACAGAGAGUAAGAAUGACGGAACAGGGAGUAAGAAAAGAAUAUCCAGCAAAUAGAAAAAGAAGAACACAAGAGAGAGACCCUUCCUGGAGUCGCCCCCACAAUGUUCUCUGAGUCCAGUCUAAUCUUCCCUGCUUGAAACAGAGCAGCAGAGUUCAACCAAUGUGACUAAUGUCAGUGGGAGCCGUUGCCCUCACCUUCGGAGCUAUAAUUAACCGAGGAAAUAUGAGUUUCACAGGCUCUCAGACAUGAUCUUAGCUUGCUGUGGAAAUGAACCAAUGAUGAUGUGCCCGCUCGUGUCUGCUGUCCCCUUUGCUCCCUCCCUCCCCAUACAAAUCCCAUUCCCGCCCUGCACAAGAACAACAGCAGCUGUGUUGGUAUUUAUAUUCACUCCAGACUGGAAAAUCACUACCGACACAGAGCCAGGCCCUGCCUUUGCACAGACCUUCUGCCAAGUGCUGAUGCUUGCAGCUCCCACAGCAUCCUCUUUUGGUUUCAUCGGCUCCAAGCCCAGGUCCCAUCGCCAUUCAUCUGCUGCUGGUGGAUAAUGAUUGUGCACAUCCUACCUGCACUGGGUUUGGCAUA